rnacentral:piRNA from 1 species
AACUAUCUACUGUUCAGGCACGA